AUGGAGUCAAGUACAGCACUUAAAAGCAUCACUUCAGGACAGCAAAACUGUAGGGUCUUUGCACGCCUCAUAAGGCUUUGGGAUGCUAAAAUAAUUAAUCCCAGAUAUGGAGAUGGCUUGCUAAGCAUUGAUGGCAUUCUCUUAGAUGAAGAUGGCAACAUGGCGCAGAUGAGUGUGCCCAAAGAAUUUGAAAAACAGUUUCGUGGAUUGCUAUCAGAAGGAUCUGUCUACAUUAUUUCAGAUAUUGCAGCUAUUGAUAACAGAAGCAAAUCAUAUAUCUACCACCAUCAGGACUACAUGCUGCAAUUCAAACAUGACACAAAGGUCCAUGCAUUGCACUCAAGAGGAGCAAAUAUACCUACUGUUUCCUUCAACUUUUGCCCAUUUGAUCAGCUGCCAAGAAAAGCAAUUGAUUCAAAACCACUCCUAGAUAUUAUUGGAGUAAUAAGUGAUGUUGGUCCAUACGAUUAUGCUAGCCCAACAUCUCAGAACAAACUUCGGAAGAUAAAAAUUCGAAACCUAGAGUAUGUCUUUCUUGCAAUGAUGCCACUUAAUUUCUUCCUUAAAGACCCUUUUUCCUGCAAUUCUAAAAGUAUACCUUGCUUUUCCAGUGAACAAACGCAAGAAGUAGUUCUAUGGGGCAAACAUGGAGAAUCAUUUGAUGAAGAAACAAUACUUAAAAAAAAUCUCUAG
rnacentral:rRNA from 1 species